rnacentral:rRNA from 1 species
CACGUAGGGUGCGAGCGUUGUCCGGAAUUAUUGGGCGUAAAGAGCUCGUAGGCGGUUUGGUGAGUCGGGUGUGAAAUCUCCACGCUCAACGUGGAGGGGCCACCCGAUACUGCCAUGACUAGAGUUCGGUAGGGGGAGACUGGAAUUCCUGGUGUAGCGGUGAAAUGCGCAGAUAUCAGGAGGAACACCGAUGGCGAAGGCAGGUCUCUGGGCCGAUACUGACGCUGAGGAGCGAAAGCGUGGGGAGCGAACAGG